rnacentral:siRNA from 1 species
ACUUUGUUGUGUGAUGAUGUGU